rnacentral:rRNA from 1 species
CGAGCGUUGUUCGGAUUUACUGGGCGUAAAGGGCGCGUAGGCGGCCUUGUCAGUCAGGCGUGAAAGCCCCGGGCUCAACCUGGGAACGGCGCUUGGGACGGCGAGGCUGGAGUUCGGGAGAGGAGAGUGGAAUUCCCAGUGUAGAGGUGAAAUUCGUAGAUAUUGGGAAGAACACCGGUGGCGAAGGCGGCUCUCUGGACCGACACUGACGCUGAGGCGCGAAAGCGUGGGGAGCAAACAGG